rnacentral:rRNA from 1 species
UUCCUACGGGGGGCAGCAGUGGGGAAUAUUGCACAAUGGGGGAAACCCUGAUGCAGCGACGCCGCGUGAGUGAAGAAGUAAUUCGUUAUGUAAAGCUCUAUCAGCAGGGAAGAAACAGACGGUACCUGAGUAAGAAGCCCCGGCUAACUACGUGCCAGCAGCCGCGGUAAUACGUAUGGGGCAAGCGUUAUCCGGAUUUACUGGGUGUAAAGGGAGCGUAGGCGGCAGGGCAAGCCUGAUGUGAAAGCCCGGGGCUCAACCCCGGGACUGCAUCGGGAACUGCCCCGCUCGAGUGCCGGAG